rnacentral:rRNA from 1 species
GACGAACGCUGGCGGCGUGCCUAAUACAUGCAAGUCGAACGCAGUGGGGACGGGUGAGUAACACGUGGGUAACCUCCCAUCAGAGGGGAUAACACUUGGAAACAGGUGCUAAACCGAUACUGAUGGAUGGACCCGCGGUGCAUUAGCUAGUUGGUGAGGUAACGGCUCACCAAGGCCACGAUGCAUAGCCGACCUGAGAGGGUGAUCGGCCACACUGGGACUGAGACACGGCCCAGACUCCUACGGGAGGCAGCAGUAGGGAAUCUUCCGCAAUGGACGCAAGUCUGAUCGAGCCACGCCGCGUGAGUGAAGAAGGCUUUAGGAUUGUAAAAUACUGUCGUCAGAGAGGCGUUAUCUAACGAGGAAGCCACGGCUAACUACGUGCCAGCAGCCGCGGUAAUUC